rnacentral:tRNA from 1 species
CGGGCCAUAGUAUAACGGCAGUACGUACCCUUGGGGUGGGUAUAGCGGCGGUUCAAUUCCGCCUGGCCCGACCA